GUUGGUCAAAAAAAGUCAAAAAAUAGAAACCUAUAGGUGGUGAAAUUUUCUAGUGCAGCGGCUCCACCGACUCACCUUCACAGUUGGGCCUUUUUCUUUGGUCAAUCUAUAAAAGACAUAACGGUGAACACAAUGGUAGAAAAAUCACAAGAAACAGAAAACAGGAAGGGGUUCAUCAGAGGCGGUUGCAGGUUUUGCUUGCGACAGCGGCCCCAGAUUUUGCCCGCAGUUUUCGGUUCACCCGUC
rnacentral:lncRNA from 1 species